rnacentral:lncRNA from 1 species
UCACAAAAGCACCUCCGUGGAUGUAGAUUAUGAUGGGAAGCUUUUCAUCAGGAGUGGUGGUUCUGGGAAGGUAAAGGCGGACUGAAACGUUAUUCUCAGGUGGAAUAAGGAUAUCUUUGGAUUUGACGCCUGUUUGGGGAUCCUCUGACGGAGGGGUGUAGGGGAACUCUGCAAAUUUCUCGAUUCGGCCAUCCUUGUAUACACGAAAGUAGGGAUAGGAGUCGUGAAGCACCUCGGUUGAUGGGGUUGAGUCCAUUGUUGGAAUUGAUGGAAGGAGAGAUGGGGACGGAGGCAAGUGUUUGGACUUGUGAUUAACGCUUAUAGGAUGUUAUCUAACUAAUAGAAUAAGGACACCGGUGGUUUCCAAGACCAUUUCCGUCGUUCUCGUUCCCCGUGCACACCACGUGACUCAAUUUAUUUAUUAACCACCGUUUGGUUGGGAGGUUUUGUACUCCCACAAUGGGAAUAAGAGGGUAAUGACUCCCAUUGAUAGUGUCUGGUUGACUGCUACGAGGGGACGCUUAGUUCUUGCUUUGGAAUUGGAAAGGGAAAUGGAAUAAUGGAUAUAGGGUCCGUUACUGAGAGUUUUGGUCAAUUUUUUUCAAUUUGGUCGGGAAUCCUGAAUGGCCAAAUUUUAAAGUAUGAUUUCAAUAAUUCAAUUUUCAUUGCACUGGACCAAACAUGCAGUAUUGGAAUUAUUGUAAUUUCAAGUAUCAAAACCCCAAACUAAGCGGUCUUCCAAUACCCAAAACCCAUUGCCCAUAGAUUUGUGCAUCCGAUACUUGGCCUCCUUAAGGAGUUUCCUUACUGGGUCUCACGUUAAAAAUUUGACAUUUGUAACAAGUUGACAUCUGCAAACAAAAUUUUUUUCAUAAUAAGAGUAAUGACUUUUUAGAAUUCCUAGUCAAUUAAAUCACAGUUAUUUAAGAGUGAUUUUUAGAAUUCUAAGUCAAUUACAAAUUGUCAAAUUUAAAAAAAAGGAUAAAGAGUGAUGGAAAAAAUUGGAUGCUGAGAGGAUUAAGAAUAAUUUUGAUUGUGGAUUUUGAGUUUAUAGAUUUUUAUUUGAUGUGAUUUCUCAUUAUUGAUGCACUGACUGGUUUUGUAAUAUUCAAGAGGAGGGAAUAACCAAAUAGAUUUCGAUGUAGAAUUGGAUUAAUACAAUCACGUGAGUUGUUACAAAUAUCAAAUUUUUAGAAUGAGGGCCGGUAAAAGAGCACCUUAAUUAAGGGGGCUGAGGAUCAGAUGCACAAAUUUGGACAUUUUCACUUCUCAUUACACAACUUCUAGAAAAAGAUGCGAAAUAAAGCAAAAUUGAAACGGAAAAAAAUACGAGAGAGAAAAAGAGCGCAUAUCUUUCUUCCUCCUUCUUCCUAUGUAUCGCUGCAUUUUCUUCUCCCCUCCUCCGCCCUUGCCCCUCUACUUCAUCCCUCACUUCUCCCACCCUCCAUACUUCCACUAUUCCAUCUCCCACUUGCUCUUCUACUUCAUCUUUUGCAGCUUCCCUUCCAUCCCUCUCACAACACUAAUUAAGUUUUCUUUAAUAGAGUUUUUAUUGGUAAUAGUUUGUAAUGAGAAAGUUGAAAUUCAUUGUCCCACAUUGAAGGAGAUCCACCUUGGAUCUUGGAACUUUCUGAUUAGGGUAGGGUGUUAAUUAAUUGUCUAAAAUAUUUAUUUUAGAUAAUUAAUUAGAUGUGGCUAAUGACAGCUGUAUUUAACAUACGUACCUGUUAAAUGGUUAACUGCCUAUACACCUAUUCAAUAAGGAUUGAAUCCUUUGAUAAUGUCUUGGAUAGGUGCUUCAAUUCUUUAAAAUAGUAGGACUUUCACAAAAUUAAAUCACUUUUCGUUGAUAGUUUUUAGACUUUGUUGUAUCCUAGAGGUAAUUUGUCUGAUACAGAGGCAAAUAACACCUUAAGGAAAGUGUUUUCGCACCUCAAAGUCUCUGCAUUUGUCUAGCUUAGAUUAGUUAUUUACUAUAUUUCCAACAAUUUUAAGGUGUUAUUCUCAACAAUGGAGUCAAGUUCUGAAUUCACUUUCAAAGUGAUGAAUCAGGACUUUGUCAAGUUGGACAGAUUCGGCGGCAUUAACUACUCCCGUUGGAAGGAUAAGAUGAUGUUUUUCUUGACAGCUUUGAAGAUUGCUUAUGUUCUGGAUCCUUCACUUCGUGAAAUUCCAGCGCCUAAAGAUAAUGAUUUUGAUGAAGUCAAGGCACAAUGCAAGAAAAGCAAAGAGGACGAGUUGCUGUGUAGAUGACACAUCAUGAACACUCUUUCUGACCGCUUGUAUGAUCUGUAUACUGCAAUCAAGUUGCCAAAGGAAGUCUGGAAUGCGCUGGAGUACAAAUAUAAUACGAUGAAACAAGGUGAGGACAAAUUUUUGAUUAUGCAAUAUUUUGAUUUUUGUAUCACUGAGAAUUCUUCUCUUGUGGAUCAGAUUCAUGAUUUUCAAGUGAUUGUGUCUAAGUUACAUGAUCUGAAAGUGGAGGUAUCUGAAUCUUUGCAAGUUGGAGCGAUAAUAGCCAAACUUCCAACCGGUUGGAAUGACUAUAAGAAAAAGUUGCUCCAUACUACUGAAGCAUUCACUAUAGAUCAGAUUUUGAAACAUUUACGUAUUGAAGAAGAUACCAAAAAUCUUCCAAAGAAGCAAACAGAAUCUGAUAUCAAAGUGAAUGCUUUAAGUGAGAAGAAUUCACAGAAUUUUUCUAGUUCCAAAAGAAAGUCUCCAGAAGCAAGUACAUUUAAGGACAAGAAGAAGAAUAGAGUCUGCUAUAAGUGCGACAAGGAGGGACAUUACAAACGUGGUUGGUUUUCAAACUAAAUUUUAAAUUGAUGAUUUAAAAAAAAACUGGCAGCCUUUUCUGCAUAAGAUAUGGCAUGUGGCUGCAAUCUCACUCCCCUCUUUUCAAAACGAGCAGAAUAAUGUUUAAAUUAAAGGCAAAUUUGUCUUUUCACUUUUUGCUACCCAAAAAAGAAAAAAAAAUUAUGGAUUUGAACAGGAGAUCUUGUUCUUUUAGUUUAAAGGCAAACUUGAGAUGAUGUCUUUAGAGGCAAAAUUUUGAAUACAGGCUAUAGUGUGUGCAAUGCACUUAGUCAUUUUUCUCCCUAGCGGGUAGAGAAAAUGAUUUUGAUGCGUCUAAUCUAGUCUUAGUAAUUGCUCCAAACUCGUAUUUCUUGCAAUGGCACAGAUUUUGAGAUCUCUUUAUGUGACCCUUCAGGAGGGAAAGGAAACUUCUCUUUAGAUGCAUUAAUUAAAAUCUGUGUGAGCGAUCAAAUGGUUGUUGGGAGUGUGAAUGCUCCAGGAUUACUCCAUUGACACGAUUGACGAAGAAUAAGCAUAUCUUAGUUUGUUUUGUUUCUACUUCUCAGAAUGUUUACAUUUCAAGAGUGGUUGCAUGGUAUUACUUGACAGGGGAAGUCCAUUUCCGGCGAAAAGCAUAGCAGCAGAAGUGUCUCUGGAACGGAAAUAGGAGAUUAGCAAUCUGCGGUGACUUCUGUGUUAGCCCUAACGUUGAAGGUGCAAUACUGAGUGGCAUAGCUACAGCUGCAAAGUUUACAGAACUACUCGGUUCUUUGUGAGUAAAAUAUGACUGAUUGUUGCAAUAACAACAUAAAGUCCGCUCAUCAUCAUUAGCAAAGACCAAGAAAGAAAGAUUGUUCCCACAAUAGAUCAGUAGCAGUAAUUCCUGUUUUCUUUUUAUGGGUGCCAGUAAUUCCCGUACUCUUGUUGUAAUAGUCAAUGGUUAUUUUAAUAAAUGGAUUUUUGGGUAAAUAUUGCUGAUUUUUUGUUCUAUAUUCUGGGUUUAAACUAGAAAGAUAACUGAAAAUUAGGAAAAAUGCAAAAUAUUAAUUUUCUUUUUCGGAUCCUUCAAGUUGGAAGUAAUAUAAUAAUCUUUCUGACAACCAAUGGCUGAUUGACUGUAGAGGCCCCAUCCUGGGCCUGCACACGUGGCAGCUAAGGGGCGACCUGAACUGGGCCUGCUCCCCAGGCCCAUGGAGGACCAGCCCAGGGUGCGCGGCGGGUAGGGCUCCGGGAGGCUCCCGAGAGCUACCCCGCAGAGGGCGAGGAGAAUCCCCCUCAGCGCGGGAUUGGGAGCUAUUCAGGGCAAGUCCCGGAACGUACGGAGGUCGGACUCUUCAACAGGUAUAAAUGGUAGCACAUACCCACUGUACAAGGUACGCUCACUAUUGGCAGAUUACUCUCUCAAUACAUUAUCCCAAAACACUCCGUCCACCGAAAAACUAACUUGACCGUCGGAGUGCCUCCGGGGACCACCUCGGGGCCCCCUUGUUAGACCACUCUCUUGUUUGUUUUGCAGGCUUGGGACUAGCCCUUCCAUCAACACGUCGAGCUAUUCAGGUCAGCUCGGUCAGGGGAAGUUCCGUGCUUCUUCAGUUGGCGCCGUCUGUGGGAACCGAGGAUACGAGUAUUUGUGUCGAUGGCGAGAACGCGUUCCAAGCGAACCGUGGAUAACAUUGAUCCCGGAGCCGGCGAGGGAUCCCGGCGGUUGGAGACCGAGGCAGCCCGAGGCGCCGGGGGCUCAGCCCUUUCUGGGAAACGGAAACAGCAGAUCUAUCAGUUUGUGACCGAGAAUCUCCCCAUGCUGGAAGACAUAAUCCGUCAGGCGAAGGAAGGGGGAGAGGCCGGCGGUGCGCAGACCUCUAAGGCGAAGGGGAAGGAGAGGGAGCCGCUCCCCAUCCCCUCAGAGGACGAGUCACGGGACCAGCCCCCCAAGAGGAAACGACCGCGGACUCCUCCCAGGCCGCAGGCCUCGAUGGUCGGGGACAGCGAGAGGUACUCUCGCGACCGGUCCGCAGGGGGUCGGCUGAGGAACCCCUCCUCAUGGAAGCUUACGCGGAACGAGCCGGAGCGCUCCCCCGCCCGGUCUAUCAGGAGCCGGCCGCGGGACCCUCCCCAAUGGCAGCCCGUCAGGGACGAGCUCGAGCAGAUCCUGCGGCCCCAACAGUAUGAGGAUAGCUACGCAGCCUCGCCCUUCACCCGAGAGAUAGAGGACUACCCGCUACCUCGGAGGCUCAAAAUUCCGAACAUCGAGCUGUACGAUGGUUCGACGGACCCGGAAGACCACCUCUCGGUCUUCAUGACGCACAUGCGUCUGCAGACCGCCGCGGAUGCACUCCGUUGCAAGACCUUCCCCAUGUUCCUGAAGGGUAAGGCCCGGCUCUGGUUCCAGGGCUUAGCGCCGGGGUCCAUCCGGAAUUUCACCGAGCUGGCCAGGCAGUUCGCUGCCCAGUUCGUCUUCCUCGAAGACCUACUCGAAAAACGCGGCUCACUUGAUGGCGUCAAGCAGAAGCCGGAUGAGUCCCUGAAGAAUUUCAUGACGCGCUUCAACACGGAAAGUCUGCAGAUCAGGGACAAAGACGAGAAGGUGGUCAUGGCUGCCUUCAUGAACGGGUUAAGGGUAGAGGAGCUUUACUACAAGCUCGUCGAGCAGCCUCCCAAGAAUCUGGGAGAGCUCCUGAGCCGGGCUCAUGCUGCUGCUAACGCAGAGGAGGCCGGCCGCUUGAAACGAGAAUCAGAUCGGGAGUUCGGGGACAGGAAAGGACGAGCAAACCCCCCUGAAACUAAGGACGGCCAAGUCAGGAAGAACGUCUUCGAUCGCCUCUCCAAGGAUAGGGCCCCAGCUCCGCCGCCUCUCCCAGAGAAGACCUACACCCCUCUAACACGGCCCAGAGCCCAGAUCUUGGCCGUUAUGGAGGCGGAAGGACUAGGAGAUCGGCCGCCCAAGAUGGGGACGCCCCGGAACAAAAGGAACCAGGACCGGUACUGCGCCUUCCACCGCGACGUCGGACACGACACGGAGGGAUGCUGGGCCCUGCGUAAGGAGAUCGAGGACCUGAUCCAACGCGGUUUUCUAGGAGGGUUCGUGCGCCGGCCAGGUCAGGGGCUCGGACGCAGCCACUACGGAGAUAGGAACGAGGGACGGCGACGCGACCGCCCUGAGCGACGUGACGCUCCUCGGGGCCACUCUCCUGACCAGGACACCCAGAACCUGGCGGGAGUGAUAAACACCAUCGCCGGAGGACCCACGGGGGGGGACAGUCAUGCAGUUCGGAAGAACAAGUGACCACCCCCCGAAGGGGACGACUCCUUGAAGCGCUUGCGCAUGGAUGAGGAAAUUACCUUCGGACCGAGGGAUGCGGUCCCCCUAGCCUCAGGGCACCACGAAGCCAUCGUGAUGGACAUUGUCACCAACAACUACCGGGUGAAGAAGGUGUAUGUCGACCAGGGUAGUGCGGUUGACAUUAUGUUCUAUCGGGUGUUCAAGGAGCUCGGAUUAAGGGAUGACCAGCUGACCCCGGUCCGGACGCCUCUGGUGGGCUUCACAGGACCACCCAUCAGCUCGGAAGGGAUGAUCACCCUGAUGGUCACAGUAGGACAGGCCCCAAGGUGCCGGACCAUUCCCGUUGACUUCGUGGUGGUCAAGCAGCCGUCCCCGUACAACGUGUUCUUGGGGAGACCCGCUUUGAACGCCCUCCGAGCUAUUCCCUCUACCUUCCACCUAAGCGUCAAGUUCCCCACCCCUGGGGGGAUAGCCGAGGUGCGCGGCGACCCAGCGAUAGCCAGAGUUUGCAACCUGGCCACGCUCCGGGGGCAGGAGAAGGUGGUCGCCCAGACAACCUGUUUGGAGCCCUAUAUCCCAGGGGAUGGGGCUCAGCAGCUGGGCACCCAGGAUGAGAUUGAGGAAUUCCCCCUAAGGAGGGAUCGGCCCGACCAGGUUCUCCGCAUUGGAGCCUUGUUGCCCGACAAGGAGAAGGAGGGGUUGAAAGCUCUGUUGAGGGAAUACUCCCAGGUCUUCGCUUGGUCGGUGGAUGACAUGCCCGGGAUCCCAACGGACCUGGCAGUCCACCACCUCGGCGUGGACCCUCACUUCAAGCCGGUGAAGCAGAAGAAAAGGAGUUUCGCUCCCGAGAGGAAUGAGGUGAUCAAGGCGGAGGUCGGCAAGUUGCUGGAGUCCAAGAUCAUCCUGGAGGUCCACUACCCGACCUGGUUGGCCAAUCCCGUCCUAGUCAAGAAGGAGGAUCAGACCUAGAGGAUGUGCGUAGACUUCACGGACCUUAACAAGGCCUGCCCAAAGGACUGCUUUCCCUUGCCAAGGAUCGACAGGUUAGUAGACUCUACCGUGGGUUUUGACGUUUUGUGCUUUCUGGAUGCCUUUAAGGGAUACCACCAGAUAGAGAUGGCUGAGGAGGAUCGAGAUAAGACCUCCUUCAUCACCGAGGAGGGGACCUACUGUUACAGAACCAUGCCAUUCGGCUUGAAGAACGCGGGAGCUACUUACCAGCGCCUGGUCAACAAGCGAUUCCAAAGCCAGAUCGGUAAAAACAUGGAGGUCUAUGUGGACGACAUGAUAGUCAAAAGCCGGGUUGACCAGCGGCUCAUACCCGACCUAAGGGAGAUUCUGAACAUCCUGCUGGAGAGCCGGAUGCGCCUAAAUCCGAAGAAGUGCACCUUUGGGGUCAGAUCGGGGAGGUUUCUUGGUUUCCUGGUGUCCCGAGAGGGAAUCCGGACCAACCCGGAUAAACUUCAGGCCAUUAUGGACAUGGCCCCCCCGAGGAACGUGAAGGAAGUCCAACGACUCAUAGGGAGGAUGGCUGCCCUGAACAGGUUCCUUUCGCGUUCCGCGGUUCGGGGGCUUCCCUUUUUCCGGGUCUUGAAAGCGCCAAAGGACUUUCACUGGAUGAGGAAUGCCAGAAAGCUUUCGCCGAACUGAAGGCCUAUCUAGCCGAGCUGCCCGCUCUGACCGCCCCCGAGAUGGGGGAGAAACUAUUCCUAUACCUGUCCACUUGCAACGAGGCCGUCAGUGCGGUCUUGGUGCGGGAGGACGGGGGGAUCCAGAGACCGGUGUACUAUGUCAGCCGAGCUUUACAAGAGCCAGAGACGCGGUACCACCCGGCCGAGAAGCUGGUUCUUGCCUUGGUGCACGCUGCUCGCAAGCUCCGGCCCUACUUCCAAGCUCACAGCAUCGUAGUCUUGACCAACCAGCCCUUGCGCCAGAUACUCACUAAGCCCGAGGUCUCGGGCAGGAUGACCAAGUGGGCCGUCGAGCUAGCCGAGCAUGACCUCAGUUAUCAGCCUCGUACCGCGAUCAAGGUUCAGGCCUUGGCGGACUUCCUUGCCGAGGGGGCUAGCUUGACCCCGACAGAGCUAGUCCCAACACCCACGGACACCCCGACGGAGGACCCGUGAGUGUUGUUCGUGGACGGCGCCUCGAGCAAGGAGGGCAGCGGGGCUGGCUUGCUGCUCACCUCGCCCACGGGGGAAGAACUGACCUAUGCGCUUAGGUUUGACUUUCCUGCGUCCAACAACGAGGCGGAGUACGAGGCCUUGUUGACGGGGUUGCGGAUAGCCCACCAGAUGGGCAUCACCGCGAUCCGGGUUCGAAGCGACUCUCAGCUCGUCGUCCUCCAGAUCCGUGGAGAGUAUGAGGCCAAGGACGAGGUAAUGAAGAAAUACCUGUCUAAGGUACGAGAGGCGGUGGCCUUGUUCGAUACUUUUGAGAUCGAGCGGGUGCCAAGGUCCCAAAACAAGCGCGCGGACGCCUUGUCCAAGCUGGCGUCCUCCUCGUUCGCCCACCUGAGUAAGAAGGUCUUGGUAGAGGUGGUGAAGCAGAAAAGUAUCGACCAGGUCCAGGUCCUGGCGGUAGAUAACUCGGCCACCUGGAUGGCUCCCCUCGUUGACUUCCUCAGCUCGGGUACCCUCCCUGAGAACAAAACUGAGGCUCGGCAAAUUCAGCUCCGAAUUGCCAAAUACGCCUACGCCGGGGGAACCCUCUACAGGAGGUCGUACUUGUCCCCCUGGCUAAAGUGCUUGACUCCCGAGAAAGGAGACUAUGUUCUGCGUGAGGUCCAUGAAGGUAUAUGUGCGGCACAUGUGGGGUCCCGGGUGUUGGCCAAAAAGUGCCUUCUCCUGGGCUAUUAUUGGCCCUCCGUCUUUCGCGACGCCGCAAAGCUGGUACAGAGAUGCCGAGCCUGCCAGGUGCACGCCUCACUGCGUCACCAGCCAGCUCGGGAAAUGAUCCCCAUUCAUAGUCCCUGGCCCUUCGCCCAAUGGGGAAUAGAUCUCCUAGGACCAUUCCCCCGAACUCCCGGAAGGUACGAGGACCUCGUGGUGGCUAUCGACUAUUUUACCAAGUGGAUAGAAGCAGAGCCCCUAGUCUCCAUUUCGGGGAAGGCGGUCCAGAAAUUCUUUUGGAGGAACAUCGUCUGCCAUUUCGGCAUCUCGCACGUCUUGAUAUCCGACAACGGCCGCCAGUUCGCCAAGAACCCCUUCCGGAGCUGGUGCGUCGAGCUCGGGAUCAACCAACACUUCACAUCGGUUGGUCACCCCCAGGCCAAUGGGCAGGUGGAGAACGCUAACCGAACCGUUCUGCAGGGAUUGAAGACCAGGUUGGCGUCCGCCCAAUCGAGCUGGCUGGACGAGCUCCCCAGUGUGCUCUAGCCUUACCGCACUACGCCCCGGACGGCCACCCACGAGACCCCGUUCUCUUUAACUUAUGGAGUAGAGGCAGUGGUGCCCGCGGAGGUCGGUCUCCCCUCGCCCAGAACGCAGAACUUCGUGGCAACGUCCAAUGAGGAAGAGGUUCGGUACAACUUGGACAUGCUCGAGGGUAAACGUGAGGAAGCGGCGGUUCGUAUGGCUAAGUAUAAAGGCCAGCUCGCCCGCUAUUACAACGCCAAAGUGAGGGCUACCCAAUACCAGCCCGGAGACCUUGUCCUAAGGAAGAAUUCGGUCAGCCGAGCUCACGGCUCCAGCAAGCUCGACCCAAACUGGGAGGGCCCCUACAAGGUCUUAGAGGCCAACCGAGCGGGGUACUGUAAACUCGUGAGGAUGGAUGGAUCUGAUGUACCCCGCACCUGGCACUUCUCCAAUCUGCGGCUGUUCUUAGCGUAGGUUCGACCAGCAUUUUCAGUUGUCCAAUUCUUUAGAAUUUCGGCUUUAUCAAUCAAUAAAGAAUUGACUUUCAAAAUUAUCGUUUCAUUUGUACUUAUUUGUUUUUUUAAAUCUAGCACUAGAACACUUAGCGUUCCCUAUCUAAAUGUCCUAGUGGGGGGUUAGGGAUUAGUAAUAGGUGUUUUGUGUUCUUGGAAGGGGUGUUCGACCCAGGAGGUCGGCACCAUCUUAACGCGUUCGACCCAAGAGGUCGGCACGAUGGGGAUACUCGGAAGGUUUGGUGCUCGACCCAGGAGGUCGGCACAAUCUUAACGUGUUCGACCCAGGAGGUCGGCACAAUCUUAACGCAUUUGACCCAGGAGGUCGGCACGAUGGGGAUACUUGGAAGGUUUGGUGCUCGACCCGGGAGGUCGGCAUCUGGCUGUCAUUAUCGUAAGUAAAGCGCGGGAAAGAAUUGCAAGGAAGUACCCUCCGAGUUUCAUAUAUACAUUCAGAGCCUAUCUAUUACAGAACUUCCAGCCUAUCUAUUACAGAACUUCCAGCCUAUCUAUUACAGAGCUUCCCGCCUACCUUGUACCGGACGAGAGGCCUAGCUACGCUUUUCUUCUUGCUGACGACCUGCUUGAGGCGGGAGCUGAAGUUACACCUCAAACAUGUUGAGAGGUAGGAGCUGGAGGUGCACCUUAAGCAUGUUGGAGGUCGGGUGGAGAAGGCUGUUAAAAAGGAUGGACCUUCAAGAGCAUUUUCAACUGGAGCAUGGUCACAUCCUUAUAAGGCUUUCCGUCUCAGAUGGACCCUCAAGGGCAUUUUCAACUGGAGCAUGGUCACAUCCUUAUAGGGAGACGGAAAGGGUUUCUGGAGUAGCCAGCCUCAGGCCACGGGCUCCUUCCCGGAAGCCCUACCAGGAGUCUUCUCUUCCUCCAGGGGGAGCUCCGCCAGCUCGGCCCCAACAUCACUCCUCCGCACCAGAUCCUUCAGGGCGUGCCCCUUGCGGUACCCAUCGAAGAGCCAAUCCAGUUUCUCCUCGGCCGCAGGAUUGUAGUCCUGGAAGUCCGCCAAGUUGAAGCCAGGGGGGUUGAGGCCCUUCACUUUUUCCAGGGUCCGCGUAACGCCGAUCUGGAGGAUGGGCAGGUUGAGGCAGGCCACGUCAUCGGCGAACUGGUAGGAGCAGAGGAAGUCCCGGACAGCCUUCUUGCGCUCUGGGCCAAUGGCGCCAGAGAGCUCAAAGGCGUGCUCUUCCUUCAGUUUCGCCACCCCCUUCUUCUCCUGAUCCAGCUCAGACCUGGUAGAGGCGAGCUGGACCUGGGAGUCCUCCAACCCCUUCUCAGCCUGGCCCAGUUUGGUCUUAAGGGAGUCCAUCUCCUUAAGAGCCUUGGCCAGUUUCUGCUCGCCCUCCCGAUUUUUCUUCUGCAUCUUCUCCAAGUCGGGAGACAGUUCGGAGAAGCGGGUCACCAGGGCAGCACCGGCGGCGUUGGCCUGCGAGGGUGAGAGUAAAAUGUGGCACACGGAGAAAAAACUGGGAACCAUAAGGGCUCAAGAGAGAAAGGGCUUACUUGGGCCUGGCCGGUGUAGUACAUGUCCUGGAGCUCGAACGGGCUGGCCAGCUCCAUCCACUUCUUGUCCCGUGGAAGGACCGCGCCCGUGACCAGCUCGCGAGCCACGUCGGGGAACUGGGUUCGGUCAUGGAUGGAGAGUUCCCAAGACGGGCAGAAGCGCCGGGGAUCAUGCAUUGUGGGGGCUUGCCCCGGCUUCUGAGGCGCCACGUGGCGGAAGUGCCACAAGCUCGGGGGGGCGCUCUCCUGGACGUGCUCCUCCGCGGAGCCCACCCCCAGGUGGACAGGGCCCCCAGACGUCAGCAGGAGGGGACGCUGGAUUGGGCCCUGCGCAGAUUUCUUCCCAGGUUGGGAGGGCUCGUCUUCUCGCCCCCUCUUCAGCCCCGUGGCCUUCUUCCUUCCGGGGACUGGCUUGGAGGGGGACUGAGCCUGAGAGGCCUCCUUCUGGGGGGCCGAGCUGGCCCCAGGAGUCGUAGAGGCCUCAGGAGCCUUUUUCGCCGCCUCAGGCUGUUCGGCGGAGGCGGCCUCCUCGGUCGGCGUGCCCAAUAGCCUGGAGAGCCUCUUCACUGCGAAAAACAUCACCAGAUUAGUGCUACAGGUCAGAAAAACAAAGGGGGAAAGGCAGCAGGUAACAGGGAAACGGGAGCAGUAUUACAAGUGCCUUGGUCGGCAGGGGAGAACUCCACCCCUCCGGGGGACCCGGACAGCUUUCCCAGCAGCCCGGCUGCGGAGAUCUGCUCAGUGGAGAAUUUGGCUGCGUACAGCUUCACCGCCGAGCCCAGCAGCUGGCCAAAGGCCUCAGGGUCCAGGUCCUCCGGAUAGGGGUCGUCCCCGAACCCCCCGACCUUCCACGCCUGGGGGGGGAAUCGCGUGUUUUUAACAAAAAAGAAGUCCCCCUUCCAGUUCUUCACGGAAGAGGGGACCCCAUACAGCAGAUCCUGGGCGCCCUUCCCGCCGCGAUUGCUGGGAGAGCGGCGGCAGAAGUAGUACCACCCAGGGAGAGAGGCCUUGAGGGCAUAGUGGGAACGAAAGAGGGAGAGAGAAUAGGGGAUGGAGCAGAUUUGGCUGUAGAUCAGGAAGCCAAGGAUGAUCCUGAUCGAGUUGGGGUGAACCUGGGUUAUCCUGAACCCCCAGUAGCUCAGGAUCUCAGCCAGGGCUGGAGGAAUGGGAAGCCGGAGCCCCGCGACCAGUUGCUCUUUGUAGAUGGCUACAAAGCCUAGGGGAGGUCGGCAAGCCCGGUCGGUGGGCCCGGCAGCUCGCGGCUCGAAGGCCGGAGGAAUGGAGAAUGAGACGGUCAGCUCGGCCACUGCCUCGGGCGAGAGGGUGGUCUCCUCCCGGUCGGGGUGGCCGUAGUUAAACUCAGGGUCAUCCCCCUGCUCGGCAGUGGGGGUCCCUUCCGAGGAGUCCCUGUCCUCCCCAACCCCCUCCUGGGCUCCGCCAGGAGAGUUAUGCGGGGAUUGGGGAGAGGGGAUAGAAGUGGCUCGCCGCUCGAUGAAGGCGUCGAGCUCGGCUGCCUCCAACCGGAGUUGGGCAGAAGGAGAAUGGGCGGAUGGUGAACUCAUGAUGUCGAUGGGCUCAAGCAAGUCGGGAAUGGGAAAGUUGGGGUUUGAAGCGGAGGAUGAAGGAGGAGAAGGGGAGGGAGAUGAUGAGGGUGAUGAUGAAGAUGAAGAGUAGAUGAAAAUUCUGGUGGCUCUACGACGGACCGGAGUCUGGGAGGCGGUGGAAGUGACGUCGGAGAGGCCCGACAUAAAAUACAGAAAAGCAAAGGGAGGAAACGAAGAGCACAGGGAAGGAAGGUAGAAGACUUACUAGUGGAUAAGGAGUGUGCUAGGGUUGGAGUGGUGGUAGAAUCGCCGGAAUCUGGGUGCGGUUGGCCGGAAAUGCACUGCGGGAAAUUGGAAAUGCACAAGGAAGGAGGAAAAUGGCAAAUGGAGUUAACUGGAAUUUGACAAUCCCUAUUUAUAGGGAGCAAAGGGGGAGGGAAACGGUUGCUUGAAUUUAAACCGUCCCAUGUGAAUGCAUUUAAUGGGGGUACGGAGACCGAAGGGACGCGACAACUGAAGGGACGCGGACGCCACUUCCCAGUGUCAGCACUGUCUCGGAAGUGACCGCGGCGGAGCAGGGUGAUGAUGGGCUCCCACGUGGCUAAGUGGUAGAUCAGGUCUGCCCGGGAGCCUGACCUAAUCUAGGGGGCUAGUGUAGAGGCCCCAUCCUGGGCCUGCACACGUGGCAGCCCAGGGGCAACCUGAACUGGGCCUGCUCCCCAGGCCCACGGAGGACCAGCCCAGGGUGCGCGACGGGUAGGGCUCCGGGAGGCUCCCGAGAGCUACCCCGCAGAGGGCGGGGAGAAUCCCCCUCAGCGCGGGAUUGGGAGCUAUUCAGGGCAAGUCCCGGAACGUACGGAGGUCGGACUCUUCAACAGGUAUAAAUGGUAGCACAUACCCACUGUACAAGGUACGCUCACUAUUGACAGAUUACUCUCUCAAUACAUUAUCCCAAAACACUCCGUCCACCGGAAAACUAACUUGACCGUCGGAGUGCCUUCGGAGACCACCUCGGGGCCCCCUUGUUAGACCACUCUCUUGUUUGUUUUGCAGGCUUGGGACUAGCCCUUCCAUCAACACGUCGAGCUCUUCAGGUCAGCUCGGUCAGGGGAAGUUCCGUGCUUCUUCAUUGACAAAUCUGGUUCCCGUGAGGUUGCUGUGUACUUUGAAAGAGACACCUCAAUUUUUGAAUUCUACAUAUAUACGUACAUAUAUGUACACACACGCAUAUAUAUAUAUAUAUAUAUAUAUAUAUACUAGUAGGGGUAGGCUGUGUUAUGCACAACCAGUGCCCAUUGGAAUGAAUUCAUUGGUAGUAAUUGAUGAAACAAUAGCUUUGUAGUAGUUAUAGUUAUAUUGUUCACAGGAAAUAAUAAAUUGUUUUUGUGAAAUUUAUUAGUAAUUGCAUUGCAUAGAAGUAAAUUCACAUUUGUUUCUUUUUGUUUAACUUGUAAAUACAAAUGUGUACUGUUGCAAAAAUAUAUUGAUUUCUACAAACUUUAGAACAUUUUUGGUUUUAAUUAUGUUGUAUUGGUGAUAAGUUAUUCAAAGAAGAAGUUACACACCUUGUGAUCUCUAUUUUAUAAAAAUUACCAGGAAGGAAGUUAUGAGAACAAAUAAAAUGAAUAAAUGCUUCUGAGCUUUAAUCUACUUUGUCAAAUGUAGCCACUUGACUUAUUGUUGUCAAAAUUUUCAUCUAAAAAUGUAGUCAAUGAUAAGUAAAUCACUCCAUUGAUUCAUGGUCAAGUCUAAUGGUGAAUACAUGACGAAAUUACAAAGAACAAUUAAUCAAGUGGUUGAAAUUUAUACAAAAAAAAGGGGUUGAAAUUUAUUCAAAGAACAACCCAACUUUUAGGUAAAUGGUAAACAUCUAAUCGUAACAAGUCAUUAAAAGAAGUAAAACAAUCGCAUAUGAUUUGUAAAGAUUCGUUGUAUAAGAAAAAAAUGGAAACCAAGAAUGAUAUGUAUAAAAGAGUGGCCAACUAUUUUGAGUUUUAUCAAAAUGGAUAAGUAAGUUGUUUUACCAUUGAACCAUCUAACAAUUACAAAAGGAAACCAAUCAACAGCUACAAAUCUAGAGCUGUAAAACAAGCCGAGUCGAGCUCGAGCAUAUGACAAUCGAGCUCGACUCGAACCUCUAAUCGAACUAGUUCGAGCUUGCUCGAUUAGUAAUUCGAGCUUCACAAGGCGUUCGAGAUCGACUCUAUGUACUGGGUAGAAAACUCGAGUUCGAGGUCGAACUCGAGUUUGAAAUCGAGCAGAGCUUAUCGAGCUCGAAACUCGAGUGGAACUCGAGCCGAGCUUUUCGAGCUCGAGCUCGUUUAUGGGAGACACCAUAUCAGCUCCUUGCACACUCAUAUUUAACCUGACAAAAGAAGAUACACAUUCUCUGAUAUAUCAUCUUCAAUUCGACAAGCCAUGCCAAAUGACAAUAUAAGGCAGAGUCUAAUACUACAGUAAGCUCGAAUAUAAAAAGCCAGAACCUAAUAAUUAUGGAGUUAAAAAGAAGUUAAAACUGCAGCAAAAACCAUCAAAUAGAGGAACAAAAUGUCCAAACUCGGAUUAUAAUGUCCAAAGUAGAUCAGAUUACAACAUAUCCAAACCAAAAUGUCCAAACCAGAUCAGAUUACAACAUGAAAAAUUACAUAAACAGCCACCAAGUAACAUCAACGGCCACCAAAUCAGGUUGUGAAUGAUUCAGGAAGUUCAACUUCCUCAAAUGUGAUUGAUUUGACCGCAUCAAGUGAUUCCUACAAAACAAAAGUAUGACAGUUAUAAAAUUCUUCAAAAUCGGAUAUAACGAAAGUGUAACAACAACAAAAACAUCCAAUCAAUUACUUACGCGAGACUUAUUCUUUAGGCCAUGAAGACUGCGGAUCCAAUCGUUGCCGCAAAGCAACAUUUGCACCGUCUCAACUGACAUAAAAGCUCGUCGAUCAUCAAUUACUCUACCUCCGGCGCUGAAAGUAGAUUCUGAAGCCAUAGUUGUAAUAGGAACGGUGAGUAUAUCGGCAGCCAUCCUCGACAAGAUAGGAAAUCUCAAUCUUUUCCCUUUCCACCAACCCAAAACAUCUAGAUUUGCAUUUGCAUCACAAGCAUACCUACUUUCCGCUAAAUAAAUAUAUAAAUCUGAUUUUUUUGGUGAAGCCCUGUCAAUUUCACUCACAUGCAUGUGAAACUUUUCUUUACCAGUUAAAACGACGGGUCUAGUCAUUUUCUGUUUCUUACUAGAAGAACUGAAACCUUCAUUUUGUCUCAUUUUUACAACCUGCCUCUGUUGUUGUUCAGAAUGGGAAACAAUGUGACAAUCAACAUAUUCAUUUUAAAACUCAUAAAGAAUGUCUCUAAUCUCAGCCACGAAUCUAGGAGUUGCAUCCUCACCAUAAAUAACCGAAAAAGCAUGAUUAACAAGAAACAUUUUGUAUCUCGGAUCCAAAAUUACACCCAAAGAUAGCAGCGCAUUACUUUUCCCCCAAUACUUAUCAAAUUUAGCAGACAUACUUUCAGCCAUAGCCGAAUAUGCUCAAAAGGGUCAAGAACUUUUUCAUUUGAAAGAUCUUUAAUCCUAUAGAGUUCCACAAGAAAAAUGUUAGCUGUUGGAUACUCGGACCCGAAAAUCAUAUCAGUGAAUUCAUGAAAUAUUCUUAAAAAUUUGCAUACUUCUUCCACUUUCAUCCACUCAAAAUCAGUAGGAACAUAGUGAAAUUCGGGGUCAAUGUUUGCAUAUCUUGGAAAGACAUCUUUGAACUCUAAAUCUGAAGCUAACAUCAAAUAGGUGCUAUUCCACCUUGUUGGACAGUUCAAAAUUAGUUUUCUAGAAGGCAACUGAAGCUGUUUUUUAAUUUUGGCAAAUUCAAGAAGCCUGGAUUCAGAAUUAUUCAAGUACUUUAUCUCUUCUCUAACAACAUCAAUCAUACCACCAAGUUGACCAAGACCAUCUUGCACUAAGAGAUUAAGUAUAUGUACACAACAUCUAACAUGAAAUUUUUUUUCUCCAAUACUUAAUCUCUUUCUUAGAGAAAAAUCCUCUCUAAGUCUCCUAAUGCACACAUCAUUGUAUGAAGCAUUAUCAACAGUUAUGCUAGAAACCUUAUUCUUAAUCCCCCAAUCAAUAAAGCACUUAUUUAGAGCAUCAGCUAUAAUAACUCCAGUAUGAGGAGGAGGAACAUUGCAAAAAUUCAACACAUAUUUUUGUAGCACCCAAUCAGAAUCAAUAAAAUGACUAGUCACAACCAUAUAUUGAAUUUUUUGACCAGAUUUUCACAAAUCUAUGGUAAUACUAAUUCUACCCGCACCUUUCAACAAUGAUUUCAACUUCAUUUUUUCAAUUAUAUAAGUACUAAUGCAAUCUUCCUUAACAGUCUACCAAUUAAUCUUUUUAUAAAAUGGAGAAGUCACUUUCAUGAAUUUGUUGAAAAUUACAUGAUCCAUCAUAGAAAAGGGGUACUCAUAUGCAAGAAUCAUGUGUGAUACAAGCUCUCUUAUCUUGGCAUGAUCAUACGAGAAAUUUGUGAUGGAAGUGAUACCAUCACUUGGGCCUUCGGUGAAUGACAACACUUGUUGCUUUUGUUUGCUUAGCUCCCCAAUGGCCAUCUUUCUUUGUAGGCAAGAAUUCAAGUGUCUCUUGUGUUGAGAUAUGGCUCCGGUUGCACUUUUGGCAAAAAGUUCCUUGCAAUGGUUGCACUUCACUUUGACCGUCCCAUUAUCUAGCACUACUGUUGUCAUUUCAUCCCAUAUGCUGGAUUUCUUCUUCCUUUACUUUUUCUCAAAAUGACCAGCUCCUUCAUCUCCAUCUACUUGCUGUCCUCCUUCAUUGCCCUUAUCUUCUAUCAUUUCUAUCUCUUUUUCACUCAUCUCAUCAGCUUUUUCUUCGUUGUAGUUCAAUUGUUCCAUAUCUUCAUUAUUUUGCUCCAUCACAGGAUUUGAUGAUGAACCUUGAAAUGAGUUGAUUGGAGAGCUGUACAUUCCUUAAUCAAAACACAUUUAAUAACCAAUAUAGAUUCUGAUUAGCCAAAACAGAAAUUUAGAAUAACAUUUCUAAGAAAUAAGGUACAAAAGUAAUAAAACAAAUUCCAAGAAAUAAUGCCCACUUCAAGUCAAUUUUAACAUUUCUUUAACUUGUUCAUAUCUCAAUUCUCAAGCUUACAUUCAGAUUAAUGAAAUAACAGAGAAAAGCUCUUAAAAACUCUUAAAAUGGCAAUCCAAACAAAAAGUUAGUUUUGCUGAAAUGAAGAAACUAAAAUGAAGAAAGUUUUGCCUUGCAGAAUCUUCCAAGUUGAAAAAUGCUUUCACUGUCAAGUUUAAACAAAAGUGCAAAACAGGAAGAAAUAUCACAUGCUAAAGAAAAAAAGAUGACUAGCUCUGUUAAAGAAAUAUCAACAGUCAGUUCUAUAACAUGGAUUAGAAAAUGCAGAAAUCAAAGAGCACAGAGACAAAAAGUGAUGUUUCCUUCUUUAUUUUCUUAGAGACACAAGUUUAAUCGCAGCAACUAUUCCAUGGUCUGAACGAAAUGAAACUGAAACCCCUACUGCUGCCAAUUCAACCCAAGUCCAAAAUAUGUAGAAAACCAAAAUAAACCCAAGUGGUUGCAUAUUCUCUAUUUGCAGAUAUAAGAUAUUUUAGAAAAAAAGUUGCAAUAAUUCUUUUGAAGACUGGCUCCAUCCUAAAGAUUGAACACAACUUGGAAACUUAAUUCUAAGAGUAUAAUCUAUGAGAAAUAUGUAACAGUUGACAAAAAAUAUAAUCAUAAGCUCAUUUGCCUGCUAAUGUAUGAAAAAAAACAUAUCUGUAUUUAUAAGCCAUUCUCACUCAUUACAAAUAAAUAAUAUUACUUUUGCUAAGACAUAAUUGAAGGCUUCCAAAUUGUCAUUUCCAGAAGAAAAGGAGUUUGACCAGUGGGGGAACAGUAUGACUACAAGAAAGAUCAAGAGGAAGAAUAACGUAAGUGGCCUCCAAACCAAAAUUGAGAAUUAAAUGUACAAUGAGAAAUGAUGAGAAGAAGAACUAAUCCAAUAUAAUAGACAUGUAAACUCAACCAAUUAUCUCACCAUAGGAUUCCUAAAUGAGCAUAAAACCCAAGAUUUCCAAAUUAUUUUACCUAUAAUUGUACUGCGUAACAGCGUUCUUGGGCAGCUUGCAAUGGAGCAUAGUUCUAAUUAUGGGCUCCAUUUUCCUAGUCGAGAAACCUAAGCUUUCUUCUCUUGUUUUACUUCUUUUUGUUUUCUUAUUUCUUCAUAUUAUACUUUUAAAGUCUUUUUCAGCCUACACUCAGUAAAAUACUGGUAUCUAGUUUUUUCCACUUGACCACCAAUUUUUGACACUCAAGAAAGGGCAGGAAACAAAGCCAGCCAAAGACUGAUCUCAAAGCCAAGGAGAGAUGAUAACACUAAGCGAUGCAUAAGCAAUCCGUGCAGGUGAAAUUUGGGAUAAAAUAUAGAGAUAAAAAACAGGAAGCCAACGGGAUACGGGGAAGCCAUACGGGAUACGGGGCUAUCUACCAUUAACCAAAACCCACACAACCUCUUAAAACCAAAAUAAAUUGCAAAAAUUGAGAAGAAAUGGUUACCAGAAUGCAGCGAAUCGGGAUAUGGUAGUGGCCCCUGACUCUACCGAGGUGGCUCCGUAUGGCGCUGCUUACUGAUUCACGACAAGAGGAUUGAAUGAUGGCGGUGAUAUGGUGGACGGAUUGGUGAUGGAGGUGAGAUGAAUGGAUUGGUGAAUCGGUGACGGUGGUAAGAAUGGAGGGUGCGGCUGCGGCUGUGGAACGGGGAAAGGAAAGACCGAAAGAGGAAAGAAAAAUUAAGGAUGGCGCCUGGUGGUGAGAUGGUGGACGGAUAGGUGAUAGUCCUGAUGGAGGUGAGAUGAUGGAUGAAUCGGAGAAUGGUAAGUCAGUGACGGUGGUGAGAAUUGAGGGUGCGGUUGUGCGGUUGCGGCUGCGGCUGUGGAACGGGAAAAAGUAAGACCAAAAGAGGAAAGAAAAAUUAGGGCUACAAACGGGAGAAUGACUUAGAUUAGAGUACCGCAUAAACAAUAAAAUGAUGCUAAUGCCCCUACUCUUCCAGCCUAUUGAGCAUCAAUGAGCCGAGCUUAGUGUAUUAAAUGAGUACUGAGUAGAGCUCGAGCUCGGAUUGUUUCUCUCUGUAAACGAGCCGAGCUGAGCCCUUAUCGAGCCAAGUCGAGCUCGGCUCGCGAGCUACCCGGUUUGAUUAACAACUCUAUACAAAUCUAAUGGUCCAAAGUUAAGCAAGAUAUCAAAUUAUUUUAAAAAAAGUGAAAAACCUCAAAUAAAUAAAAACCUUAAAAUUUGCUUUCUAAUUAAAUACGGCUUGGCUAAAAUAAGUCUUAGACUGACUAUUUCAUUUUAAUUAUGUAAAAUAGAUUAUAUAUAUCUUCCUUAGAUGCUUUAUAGUCUUAUUGCAAACAAUAUCAUUUUUCCCAUAUUCCUUUUUAAAUAUUUAUUAAAGACAUGAUUUAUAUAUCUUAAUAUUUUUCCCACAUCGUAAAAAUAUAUGUUUUAUCAUAUUUUUUUCAAUAAAUCUCAGACAAAUAAAAACCUCAAAAAUUGCUUUCUAAAUGAAUAAAGCUCAUAACUUGCAUAUUUGGUUUUAUUUUUUUGCCAUCAAUUAAAUCAUCUCUUACCCAAUUUCUUUGUAAUCUGAAAAAUUUAUCAAUUUUUGUAUCUCUUCUUGCCACUAAUCCCAAAGAAUAAGGAGAGUGGUUAUAAAAUGAAAGAAAAUUAUAAAUUGAAGUAGGCGAUGCACUUGUAUAUGAUUUGUAAAUAAUGAAUCUAGCAUUUAAAUCCCUUGUCAUGAUAUGUCUGCUCUUAUUAGAAAAAUAUCAAUUUUGGUAUUUUAUUUUCCCUCAAAGUCAAAAUAAUUUUAAAAAUCUAUAGAAAAAUAAGGUUGUAUUCCGAAUAUUAACCUUGCAUUUACACUUAAAUUUUUUUAUGCUUAUACAUUUAUUCAAAGUAAUAAUUGAUAAAUUUAUUUUUUGAAUUAAACAUAUUAAUAUCAAAUAUUUCUCAAUUAAUUAUAUAUUCUUGACUAAAGAGGUAAUAAAUAAUCAGCUAUUAUGGCUUGAUCCCUUACUAUGUAUCUUGGUCUCUUGAAUUUUGGAUUAAAAAUUAAUGGAUCAUAAUAUAGUUCAUAAAUACAUUUUUCAUUCAGGUAAAAGUCUAGAAUUGGAUUUCAAUUUUGUAGUUUCAAAGAUAUUGACAUAAUUUAGAUCCUACUUAAAAUCUCAACAGCAAUUUUUUCAAGAAUCCAAAGCCAAAAAGGAAAAAAAAUACUAUAAUGAUUGGUUCCAUUAUAUAUGCUAAAAACUAAUGGAGCUGAGAGUUGCAAUCAUCCGAAUCUGUAAGAAGAAAAUUGUUUAAAGGAAGUUAGAAGAUUAAUAAAAGGGAGAAAGAAGAAUUAAGCAUACAAAUUCAUCAUUUGAGUAAAAUAACAGAGCUUAGAAACUAAUCACUGGUUUAAUAUUAAUAUCUUUUCUACUUUCCCAUUGCCAAGUGAUUUAGCAGGCGGUCAUAAACUUUCUAGUAGUGCUAUAUCCUAAACAAUUAUAAAUUGAAAUACUAACUGCCCACUAAUUAGAUUGCUAACUUGCAUUUACAUAAAUUCCAUCAAGUUCUUUAGGAGGACGCCAUCAUAAAGGAUCAUGAGCAUUGAUAUGAAAUUUGGGAACAUCUUUUGUGAUCUUCAUUUGGGAUUGCUAUCGAAAUUUGACUUCCAACCUCUGUAGUGUAUGCUUUGAAGUGUUGUUUUUCGCUAUCCUUUUGUCCUUGGAUUUCCAGAUUAAAAGCAUGGAUGAAACAAACCAUUGUUACCCCUUCAACAUAAGAGGCUAGUUUAGCAAAAUGUGUAACAUCCUUAAUUUCAUUAGUGAACUUUGUUUGAAAUAUUUAAUGAAAUGUUGAAAGGAUGUUGAGAGGAUUAAGAAUAAUUUUGAUUGUGGAUUUAGGGUUUAUAGAUUUUUAUUUGAUGUGAUUUCUCGUUAUUGAUGCACUGACUGAUAUUGUAAUAUUUAAGACGAGGGAAUAGACAAAUAGAUUUCGAUGUAGGAUUGGAUUAACGAAAUCACCUGAAUUGUUACAGAUAUCAAAUUUUUAGAGUAAGGGCCGGUAAAAGAGCUCCCUAAUUAAGGGGGCUGAGGGUCGGAUGCACAAAUUUGGGCACUUUCACUUCUCAUUACCCAUAAUCUAGAAAAAGAUCCAAAUUAAAGCAAACUUGAAUCGGAAAAAAAAAAUACGAGAGAGAAAAAGAACGCAUAUCUUUCUUCCUCCUCCCUCUUAUGUACCGCUGCAUUUUCUUCCCCUAUCUUCCGCCCUUGCCCCUCUACUUCAUCCCUCACUUCUCCUACCCUCCAUACUGCCACUGCCCAUCUCCCACUUGCUCUUCUACUUCAUUUUUUGCAGCUUCCCUUCCAUCCCUCUCACAACACUAAUUAAGUUUUUUUUAAUAGAGUUUUGCAUAACAAAUUUGUAAUUGGAAUCAAUGAGUUGGUUUUCUACGAAUCAUGCUGCAAUUGAUCAACAGUAUACGUAUAAGCAGGUAGCGGUGGUGAAGGAUAUGGGAGGUGAUGGUAGUAAUGAGCAAGAGAUUAAGAGAAAGAAAAAAAAAAGGAAAAAAGUGAAAAAGAAAAAGUGGCCGAAGGAGAUGGAUUUGCAGUGGCCAAAUUCAUGUGUUCUUCCUCAUCUUGAGUUUUGCCAUCCACAGAUUCUCCUGCAAUUUAGCUAUCGCAGUGGUGAUGCAGUGGAUAUGAGUAACAAGUUCCAUCCUAGCUGCGCCAUUUGUUAGUAUUCCUGAUCAUAUUAGUUGCCUUGGUUGAACCUUUAGACAUUUCCGGUAUUAGCAAUUUAUGUGAACUUUUGCAAUUCUUCUUUAAUUGGAGUAAUCAUUUGCAGAUCAUCACAAAGUUGUAUCCUGCAGAUUUAACUACAUCAUAUAACAUAAAAUCUACCUUAGACAUAUAUAAGACAUACAAAAAGAAUAUAUGUCAAGAUUUAUUAUUAGGUAAGCAUAAGUCAUAUUUUGUUAUGAUUCAUAAACAUCACAAGUACAUUCUCUUUGUUCAAGAUUAAAUGGUAAGUUGAUAUGAUUCGGAUCCCCCACUCUAGUCCAUGAAGAUUUCACAUGCUCAAGUUAUUCGAGUUUCAAAUUGUGUCAUUUAUUUGGUGUUGUUAAGUAAGGGUUUUAAUGUUAAUUACCUUGCUAAUUUAGUUGUUUACUAGCUUUAGUUAAUUCGGCCAGAUUGUGUCUUAGAUGGGCCAACUUUUUGUUAUUAUUUUUAGGAAAAUAAGUGAUUCCAAAUCACAUUAGGAUUUUUAGACAAUUCCAAAUAGUUUUAGACUUUGAGUCAUUGUAAGGUUAUAAAUAGCCAAGUCUUCUCCAAUGUUUUUAGUUAAUCAGAUUUUACAAUAACAAUGGUGAGUUAAUCACUUUCUCUUGUCCAAGAGAGUUUCCUUUGAAUACUUGAGAGUUUUUCUUAAAUUAUUCGAUCCGAACUUUUCAAUCAAGUACUUCUUUGAUUGUGGCGUUCUUCUACCUACAAUUUGAUUCAUUAAUUCGAUUAGUUACGGGUUGAGAUUGUAUCAAUAUUGUUCGUAACUCGUAGGAUUAUUAGGGUCAAAUUUUUUCGCUGCCAAACCUUCAAUGUUAGUUGUCUAGAUUAUCCGAGUGAGUCACGGGUUUCGUUUUCAACGGAGUUCAUGUCACAUUAGUUGGUAAUCAGAACUAGUUGACAACCACCAAGUUAUAUCUUUCUUUUUUUUUUUGGUGUUUCGAGUCUUACACUCUUGUUCCAAAAUAGUUCGUGUGUCAUUCAAAAAAAAAAAUUUUUGAGUCGCUAGUUUUAUUUUAGUUUUCUUGCUAUCCGAAUCGUUUCUUUGUUGCUGCAUUUCUUGUUGCUGUCCGAAUUAUUCUUGUUGCGGCUGUCCAAAUUGUUCUUGAUUGUCAUGUCCCUGCUUCUUGAAAUUGUUGGAGCAAAAAAAAAAGAUAAGAAACAAAUCUGAUGGCUGUUGUUGUUCUUGAAAUCCGAAGUGCUCACUUGGAUUUCUUGAACAAAGGGUGUUGGGAAACUUUGUGUCUUGCACUAAACAAGGCUGUUUACUUUUAUUCUUGGGAAUCUUGAUAAUUUCUUGAAUUUUUUGAAAAUUCUUGAGUGAAUCUUGAAGUAUUGGGUUGGUAUUCUAGAGUUCUUGAAUUCUUGAAGUCAAAGUCACCAUAUCUUGAACAAACCAAACCCUAGUUCUUGUUUCUUGAAAUUAGGGCUAAUCUUGUACAAGAAAAUCAAACAAAAUUCUUGUUUCUUGUGUGUGAUCCGAAUUGAAAAAGAAGAAAAAGAAAUUUGAUUGCGUUUACCAAAAAAAAAGAAACGCAAGAAAAAAAAAAGGAAACAAAAUCGGAUCACAAGGAGAAAACAAAAAGGAAACCAAGUUGACUUGGGUUUGUAAAACAAAUUUUAGUUGCACUCAAAUUACCAAAUUCUAAUUGGUCACCUUUGUACCCGUAAGGAACCAGAAAAUCGGCCACUAAACUACCCAAAAACAACCCAUUAAACCUUGCUUACAACUCCCAAAAUCAGCCAAGUGCAAAAUCGGGUAGAGUCACUCUAGGAUCCAACUAAAUUCUACCACCUUGAUUCUUGUUUGGUCGAAACUAGUAUUCUGUCCAACUUUAUAAAUUAGUGUUUUUGAGUCUUUUUCAGAUUGUUUUUCGUGUCUAGUAGCACCAAAAAGAGUCCAUAUCAGUCUAGAAUUUAAUUAGUUGUUAGUUUCUAAAUUGAGUCCUUGUCAAAGUCAAACACUUCCAAACCUUGAGUUACCUUUUUGGGAACUAAGGCCUGGGAUUUUCAGCGAGUUUUCACAGCAUUUUUGAAUCACUAAAACAGUCUAAUCAACCCUAAAAUUUCAGCCAUUAAUAUGCCACAUUUUGGGUGCAACUUGAGUGAAGUUUGGUUGAAUUUCUUGGAGAAAAAUUCUGAUUUCUUCAAGAGAAGCAAUCAAGUAACUUAAGAAAUGAUUAGUGAGAACAUUAGAGUGUUUUAAACAUUUGAAUGAUACACGAGACUGAGAGAAACACGAAGGGAGAGAGUGAGGUAUUUUCCAUUCACUUGUUUAUUGUUUUACAGGUUUAAACAUGGCGAAUGAAAAUAAGCUUACCCUCGCCCAACUUGCACUAAAAAUGGAUGCUAUGUGGGCAGAAUUUCAAAGGAGGUUCAACCUUAAGAUCGAAUCCAUACAUGAGGAAGUGGAUCAUUUGGAUUCAUCAAAGAAGUCCUCUAAGAAAUCUAGAGGGACACAACCUUUGAAUGAGUCUAGUGAUUCAAAUGUAGACGCCAACCUUGAAGAUUGGGAACAAAGGUCGAGGGAACACAACCAUAAACCUAAGCGCGAGAAUGAAUCUUUCAAAAGGAGUGGUUCCAUGCAAUCUACCUCUUUAAAGUCAAUUUAUACAAGAGGUGAUAAGAAGGCUCAUUCAACAUUUAUAGGCCUAAACCUAGAGUUGAACUAUCUCAUGAGAAGUCAUUUUGGGAGACAUAUCAACGUCUUCUAUACCAAAAACAAAUGGAGUCAAAUAGAUGCUAUCAAAGUGAGUUUUCUAAGAAGGAGGUAGCUGAGCCUAUUCCCAACAAAGGAGUAUCUCAUCCUAUUGAACCAUUUGUUGAGGAGGUUGAUAAUGAGAAAACAAUCGAGGGCAUUAAAUUAGAAAAAGAGAUGAAAAAAUCUGAUUAGAUGAGUCGUAAAAAGGAAGAACAAAGAGAAAGUGAGUCGAUUUUGAGCAAAAAUAUGAGGGCUUAUUGUUUUCCUAACGAACUUACCUUUGCUUUGUUUAGUGUUUCUUCUUUUGUGCAGAUUAAGCAAAGUCAAGUGAAGCUAGUCAUGUCAUACUCCAUUCCAAAGUCACUUGUACAAUUCACUAGUUUCCAUGAAGUGUAUCUUCUAAGAGUUAAAUCUAUUUGGGAUUACCUCAUGAAACAAUUUUAAUUCAAAUCUGUCCAUACCAAAGGGGAAUUAAUUCAAACCCACCAUGAAGAUUUUGAAGAAAAGUAUAAAAAGCUAGCAAUGCCUUCUCAAAUUGAAUCAAUUGGUGGAAGGAAUAAUGAAGUGCCAAAGGGAGUUUUCACACUUAAAUCUUGUUCUAUACCUUCUUACCAUUUAGUUGAUGAUGUACCAUUGCUUCUUUAUCCAAUUUCUGAUUUGUUUCAAGUUGAAGAUUAUUGUGUUUUUGUAGGUUGUAAAGCUGUCCAAAAUUUUUCAGUUUUGAUUAAAGACUUACAAACUGAUUUCAUGCUCAUUCCAGCUAAAAGUGGUGAUCUUUCAUGUUUAUUCACACUUCCAAAAGUUGGUGAUCAAGUGCUCACUUUUUCAAUUUCAACUUGUGCUAGUUCGAGUAACCCUCAUAAAGUGGAAUUCAAUUGUUUGCUACCUUAUAUGUUGGAAGAUGAGAAAUUGUGUGUCACGUAAGAUCUCAAAACUGUCCUCCCCGAGUUGUUUAGUGCCUCAUCCAUGCAACAAGUUGCUCCCAUUUUAUCCAUGCAAGAUGAUCCAAAUCAAUGUCAACUAGUGCUAAAUUUUUCACCUUUGCACAAUCAAGGUCCCAAUGUGAAAAUCCAUGACCAAAAGCUAAUUAGAGAGUUUUGGAUUGCAAUUUGGAAUUUUCAUAUGCCUUACACAAGCUCUUUCCUACCUUGGCGCAUGUCCUUGUUUGAGAGCUUCCCGAAGUUGACCAAACGACAUGCAACAUGGCUCGUAGUCAUUCAUCUAUUUCCAACAUUGUUGUUCUUUAAGCGCACCAUCGAUUUGUGAACAAAUCGUUUUCAAGAGGAGGGGAAUGAUAUGAUCUGGAUCCCCCACUCUAGUCCAUGAAGAUUUCACAUGCUCAAGUUAUUCGAGUUUCAAGUUGUGUCAUUUAUUUGGUGUUGUUAAGCAAGGGUUUUAAUGUUAAUUACCUUGCUAAUUUGUUUACUAGCUUUAGUUAAUUCGGCCAGAUUGUGUCUCAAAAUGGGCCGACUUUUUGUUAUUUUUUUAGGAAAAUAAGUGAUUCCAAAUCACAUUAGGAUUCUAGACAAUUCCAAAUAGUUUUAGGUUUUGAGUCAUUGUAAGGCUAUAAAUAACCUAGUCUUCUCCAAUAUUUUUAGUUAAUCAGAUUUUACAAUAACAAUGGUGAGUUAAUCACUUGCUCUUAUCCAAGAGAGUUUCCUUUGAAUACCUGAGAGUUUUUCUUAAGUUAUUCGAUCCGAACUUAUCAAUCAAGUACCUCCUUGAUUGUGGUGUACUUCUACUUACAAUUUGGUUCAUUAAUUCGAUUAGUUACGGGUUGAGAUCGUAUCAAUAUUGUUCAUAACUCGUAGGAUUAUUAGGAUCAAAUUUUUUUUGCUGCCAAACCUUCGAUGUUAGUUGUCUAGAUCGUGCGAGUGAGUCACGGGUUUCGUCUUCAACAGAGUUCGUAUCACAUCAUAAGUGAUAUUCAAUGUUAAUUAGGAUUAUUAGCUUAGAUAGUAAGGACAUUAAUUAGUCAAGAUACCAUGAGCUUUCUGAUAGGGUUUGCAGUCUCCUCUUAAAACAAAAAAAAAUCUACCAAUGCAGCUAGUAAAUCAAGUAUACAUAACUAUCUUCUAGUUAUUUUGCACACUACAAAAAGAAAGUCGGUGCAGUGCAAUCUCAAUGAACAUGAAUGGCCAUGUUGAGGUUAAUUAUGGUACAAGGCUUGUAAUUAAUUACCCUAAACUUAUAUUACUUUGGCCAUCUCUCUCUAUUAGGAGCCUAUUCUGCGAACCACGACCGAAUAGGUAUCCAUUUUCACUUAGAAAUAAACCAAUGUGUGAGCUAUCGGCUCAACAUUUUCUCAUUGGAGGGCGAUUUAGUCCAAACAAGGACUAUAGGGCCUUGGGCUUUCUGGCAAGGGGCUUUUGUAUUUCAUGGAGGAAUGCUAAAAGAGAGUAUAUGUUGUACUUUUGACUCAACUGAAAAUGAUCCAAAUGUAUUGGAACUCGUUUGCUGCAAAUUUUUUUUUUUUUUUGUAAUUCUUCUCGAGUACCUAUUCAUUUAUUUUAAGACAUGAACUGGCAAAUGCCUAAGAAAACUGUGAAGAAAAAGAUAGUAAUACAAUUAUUUCAUUUUAAUAAUAGAAUUUUGCAUCAUUAAAAGGUGUCUUAAAGUAGAAUGAGUUCAGCACUUUAAUUUAGACUUUGCUCGUGGGUGAAAAUAUUACAAGCCUUGUAACUCAGUUUCCUUUUGGAAUUUCUCACUUACACUCCUUCUCCCGUACUACCCAACUCAUUCCUCCCCCUGUAACUCAUUCUCCUUAAUGACCAAAAUAUAAAAUUCCGGGUUUUGCUUAUUUUUCAGAUUAGAUAAGUGAAAACGCUAGUAGUAUGAUAAAGCUUUUGGCAUCUAACAACCCAAAUAUUAGUGUUUGGAGCUCCAAUUUUCUAUUAGCUAGAUAAUUAAAAAUUUUGUGUCUUUCAUUUAUUUAUUCAUUUGAUUUAUUUUAUUGCACUUAUGUCUCUUAAAUUUGUCUUUUUUUUAUUUUAGUGCAAGAAAUUUAUUUUUCUUUUCAUCACCUUUAAUGCCAUAAGGUCUAUUCCAAAGAUGUAAGGAAGUUGGAAAGAUUUUUCAAGUUUAUUUUGGUUAUACUUUCUCCAAAAAUUACUAACUCUGUUCAAUUUUUUUCCAGACUUGAUUCCACAGUUGACUCAUUUGGAAUGCAGUCUUGUACCAUAAUAUCCUUAAGGAAGUUCGAGAAGUUGCCAAAUACUUAUUAUCCAUGUAUUUGUUGUGUUGUAGAAGGAUGAAAUGUGUGAGAAUAGUGAUAUACUCAAAAUUAUCAUGAAAAUUCGUUUUGUCUAUUAGAUAUUAUAAUUCUAAUAUGUGCUAAAUUUAUGAGAUUGAUUUGAUUAUUUGAUGAAAUGUGUGAAAAUGGUGAUGUAUGGACUUUGAUUACAAUAUCUCUACCAAUAUUAAUUAGAAAGCAAGUUUUUUUUAUUGUAAAAUAUGCUGAUAUUAAGUGGAAAGUAAUUUUUAUUGAAAAAUAAUUUUUUUUAGGGGUGGGUAUCCUAUAACUCACCUCUUUUUUUUGGGUAUCCGAAAAUAUUAUAAGCAGAUUAGGAUCGCAAAAUAGUUCAUUUGAUAUAUUAGAGUCGAAUCAAUCAAAUCAUAUUAGGGAUGGGUAUCCAAUCUAUGCCCACCCCUAAACGGAAUUCAUCCCAUGCCACGGUGAAGAACGCUCGUGGGACAGUUACGACAGGCCAUAUCGAAGCAUAAUUUUCGAGAAGCCAACCAUUAUUUCGAUGCAUUGAUGAAGAAGAACCGCAACCAAAUGGAAUUUUUAAUGUUUACCUCACUUGCCAUCUCCUUGUAUUCUCUUUCUUUUGUCCAUGCCAUGAUGAAAGAGACUGCUGGGCAAGAACAAUUAUCAGAUCAAUUGUACCUGAAUGUUGUAACAUUUUUUUAAUGUUUAUAAUUUUAAGUAAAUUGCUUGAAUGUCCUUAUUCCUUAUAAUAAUAGAGGUGUAAUAUUCUGUUACCGUUAACGUGAAUUUCACGCAUAAUAAUUAUGUGUCUAGUUCACAUAAAAUUAAAAUCCAUUCAAAAAAUGUUUACAAUGUUUGGGAUGGUGAAGGACACUUAUGGCACAAUUAGGGCAGGUCGUAUUGAGGUUAAAAUACUACAAUGGUUACCUAAAAAAUGUUACAAUUUUCGAGAAGCCAACCGUUUUGCGACUUGUUUGAUGAAGAAGGGCUGCAACCAAAUGGUUACCUUUCUUUGUAUUCUCUUUCUUUUGGAAGACGUUAGGGGAGUAUCCCUCUCUCAGAUGAUGGUACUAAAGUGAUUUUAUUUUAUUUUAUUUUUAACAAAUUGCAUUGGUCAGUAUACCCAAAAAAAAAAAAAAAAACAUUUCCAUCGCAAAUAUUGGUAAGAAUCCCUUCAAAAAAUAAGUCAAGCAAAAAAAAAGUUUGGAAGACAGAUGAUUCGCAAGUCAUAUAGCAAUAGAACAUGUCCUGUUUUGACCAGCAAUUGACAAGAAGCUCCCACCAAACAAAACCACGUGCCCGAAACGUCUGUCCGUGAAGCAAAGACGUGGUUCGAAAUCAAAUGCGUCUCCUUUCAACAGUCUCGCGAAAAUAUCUCGAUUCAAUUAAACAAAAGAUGAUUAAAAAAAUUCCUCUUUGUUUCUCCCAAUUAUAAAUCCAACUUGAAUCGAAAUCGAAAUUGGUAAUUCGGAACUUUGAAAUCGGAAUUUUUCGAAAUUUUGGUAUCAAAAUUUUCGACCGAUUUCGAUUUCGAAUUCACCAAUUCCGAAUUCAAUUCUGUAAAUUUCGAUUUCACCGAAUUUAUGAAUAUAAAAAUUAUUAUUAUAAUAUAAAUGUUAUAUUAUAUAUUAUAUAUAUAUAUGAAAAACAGAUUUGAAAUCGAAAUAGGAAUUUCAAAUUUCGAUAUCAAUUUCGAUUUCGAUUUCGAUAUCGGAAUUUCGAUUUGAAAAAUCUCAUUACCGAAUUCAACCCGAAUUCGAUCAAUUCGAAAUCGGAAUAUUCAAUUUUCAUUCUGAAUUACCGAAUUCAAAAUUCUGAAUUCAAUUCGAAUUCGGCCAGUAAAGCGAAAUUUUUCGAUUUUGCACACCCCUACUGCUUCACGCAAGAACACACACUAACACACGCAAGAAAACACGCAGUUGGCCUCACAGAGAGAACCGAGAGAUGGGAGUGGUGAUAAUCGACGGCUCAACAGUCCGAGACUUCGUCACCAACGAAGCCGAGAAUUUGUAACCAGAGAAUUUGUGAAAUGAAACGACAACCUUCAUGAGAGGAAAGUCAAAGAAGAGCAACAAGAUUCUUUCAUCUUUGACCUACCUUAUAAUAGGAAAAAAAUAAAAAUAAAAAAAUUGUGGGGCAUUUUGGCAUUUUAAAGAAAUAAAAUGGGAAACGAAAAUGAUGUCCACAAGUCACAACAACAAGAUUACUACUACACAGUCGAGUGGUUAAAGGCUUUUCCUCUUGGAAUGGAAGUUAAUGUCUAAUUAUUUACACAUCCACGUCACCUAUGUCGGUCACAACAAAUCUUCUAUGUCGCUUAUUGUACCGCCGUUCACUUUCUCAUAAUGUAUUUUAUUGCUAUCCAUCCUUCGUGAACUUCCUCAACAACGAAAAAAGAAAAAAAAAUAUAUAUGAUAAAAAGCAAACUACAACAAAUCAAAAAACAAUAUAUGAAAAAAAAAAGUAAAAUAAUAGAAGAAAUUUCUACUACAAGAACAUUACAGAAAGUGAGACAAAAGUUAUGAAAUUGGAGUUGGAGUUCGGCAAAAUCUCUUAAACUUCUACUAAAGGAGGGAGAGCUAUAGCUUCUAUCUCUCCUUUUUAUUUUCUUCAAUGAUUGAAAAUAGAUCUCUUGGUGGGGGAUCCUUUACGAGGAGUCCUGAUUGAUAAACGUAACAAUUCGUUUCAUCAAAACCCUGGCACGCUCAGAAGUUGGGUUAGGCAGAUGAAAGCAAUGUCCCUCCUCUUCAGUCUCCAUCAUUUCCAAUUCUCCAUCCCAUCUACUUUUCUUCAAUGCGCAGUAGUAAAGCAAACUUCUCUCUCUUACGAAAUCCUUCUCCGCUGUUAAGACCAGGACCCUUUUGCAAACAAGCCUCGACAACAGAUCAGGAUGCGCCAUAGGAUGCAACCUGGGAUCAUCACAGAUGCUGCUAUCUGGGGCUAUGAGGGAGAAAAGCUUAUCAAGCUUAUCAGGCUUACCAUCACCAAAAUAGGGAUGGACCAAAAUCAUCCCCGCGAUUUUUACUUCAUCCCCUGGUCCAAUUUUUUCACUGGCCCUGACCAUUACGUCAUGUGCAAUAUUAGCUCCAGCACUAUCACCUGCCAAAAAGAUUCUAGCAAAAUCGGCAUGGUUACUGAUCCACGCUUCAGGACCCUGUGCAGAACUAGCAUGUGCAAGAACCCAUUCGAAUGCUAUCCAAGAAUCAUCAUAGCAUGCGGGGAAAGGAUGCUCCGGGGCUAGUCUGUACUCGAUGGAAACAGCAAUCGCCUUGGCUUCAGCUGCUAGGGAGUUAAGGUAGGGAUGGUAUACACGAGAAAAUGCUGAUUCAAUCACAAAAGCACCUCCGUGGAUGUAGAUUAUGAUGGGAAGCUUUUCAUCAGGAGUGGUGGUUCUGGGAAGGUAAAGGCGGACUGAAACGUUAUUCUCAGGUGGAAUAAGGAUAUCUUUGGAUUUGACGCCUGUUUGGGGAUCCUCUGACGG